rnacentral:rRNA from 1 species
GACGAACGCUGGCGGCGUGCCUAAUACAUGCAAGUAGAACGCUGAAGGAGGAGCUUGCUUCUCCGGAUGAGUUGCGAACGGGUGAGUAACGCGUAGGUAACCUGCCUGGUAGCGGGGGAUAACUAUUGGAAACGAUAGCUAAUACCGCAUAAGAGUAGAUGUCGCAUGACAUUUGCUUAAAAGGUGCAACUGCACCACUACCAGAUGGACCUGCGUUGUAUUAGCUAGUUGGUGAGGUAACGGCUCACCAAGGCAACGAUACAUAGCCGACCUGAGAGGGGGAUCGGCCACACUGGGACUGAGACACGGCCCAGACUCCUACGGGAGGCAGCAGUAGGGAAUCUUCGGCAAUGGACGGAAGUCUGACCGAGCAACGCCGCGUGAGUGAAGAAGGUUUUCGGAUCGUAAAGCUCUGUUGUAAGAGAAGAACGAGUGUGAGAGUGGAAAGUUCACACUGUGACGGUAUCUUACCAGAAAGAGACGGCUAACUACGUG